AUUCGUUGAAAACUCCAUUUAUUUUUAAUUUAAUUUAUUUGUGUACCAGCAGACUCUUCUUUUUUAAAUUGCUCCAAUUGAGCAGGUUAACAGUAAAACCAUGCCUUAUGCAUUGCGGGUGUAAUUUGAAAACUUCGGUCACACCACAGGGAAUAAGAUUUUUCGACUAGUGAAACUCUUAGCCGAUUUGAGUAACUAGGUUUUAAUGCUUUACUAUAUGGAAAUAAUAGUCUGUUUAGACAGAAGGUUUUUUGCAAAGCCUUAGCACAGCCUAUUAAAAUCGAUCUAGCAAUUUUAAACGGAUUCUUGUUCACAUAGAGCAUUGCUAAGGCCAACAGCUGAUCGGCAUAAACAAACCGUGACCGAAAGGAGAUUACGUGCAAAUUGAGUUUUUCCGCCAAAAAAAAGGGAAAACAACGCAAAACAAAUAACAAUUUGAAUUAGCAUGCUAAACGUUUUCCGGGCCAAAAUUUCGUCCGAAGGUAUGUAACAGGUAGGAAGCUUUUUCGACCCUAUAAUAUAUAUUUUUUCUUCAUAAGGAUCACAAGCCGAGUCGAUCUGACCAUGUCCGUCUGUCUGUCCUUCCAUAUAAAGGCUGAGAAGUUGGGACUUGGUAUGUGGAUUCUUAAGCUUCUUGUGCAGCGCAAGUUUAUUUUAAUAGAGUGCCACGCCCACUCUAACGUCCACAAACGCUUAUAGCACUAAAACCUGUCAUGUCACUUGCACCAUGGGUGAAUUCAUGUAUUACUUUUUAAAAAUGUCAUCAAUACUUUCAACAGGUAGGAAGCUUUUUCGACCCUGUAAUAAUAUAUUUUCUUUAUAAGGAUCACAAGCCGAGUCGACCUGACCAUGUCCGUCUGUCUGUCCUUCCAUAUAAAGGCUGAGAUCUCGGAAACUAUAAAAGCUAGGAAGUUGGGACUUGGUAUGUGGAUUCUUAAGCUUCUUGUGCAGCGCAAGUUUAUUUUAAUAGAGUGCCACGCCCAUUCUAACGCCCACAAACGCUUAUAGUUCUAAAACCUGUCAUGUCACUUCAAUCAUGGGUGAAUUCAUGUAUUACUUUUUAAAAUGUCAUCAAUACUUUCAAUACCAAAAGAAAAAAAAGGAAAGUCCUUUUUAAAUUAUAAAACGCAUACAUUUUUACAAAUUUAAGUUUUAAAUUGUGUUAUUUAGUGUUACGAACUGCUUAUUUUCGGUGGCAGUGCCGCUAGCUCAGUCUUAUCUCAGUGGCAGGGUACCCCUAACGCAACAUAAAUAUCGAUAACUCCGCGGUCUCUCAUUACCAAACUAUCGGUCAUCACUAAGAACAAAAAACGUAAACAAAGGUAAAUAUCUACAAACAUUGACGGAAAAAUGGAUUAAAUUUGGUGGCUAUCGAUGACCUAGCCAAGCGCUCCCACCCAACAAUGGAUGCCCUCAAGAUGCUGCAGGGCACCACCCAUUCUCUGUCGGCAGGAACCCCUCCUCGCGACUUCGACGGUUCCAUCUCUCCCAUUGGGAAAACUCACUCACACAUUGUGGGUUUUACAAAUGUUUUAUAAAUAUUCCUUUAAGACCGAAUACUUGGCCGCCGUCUUCAAUACUUACGCGGUCAAAGCAGAGGAUUUGUUUUGCUGGAAAAAAGAGUACAGGCGCCGCGGAAAACUAUGCUCCACCAGUCAUGUAUUUGUAGAGAUCGCAUGGAAACACGGUCCUGAAAAGAGACAUACGCAAUGCGCGUGUGUAUGGUCACCUAAUCCUGAGGAGCUCCAGGGGAAAAGAAAGGACAGGCCAAAAAGGUACGUAACUGCACUGUAAACUAUACCAUCUAACUAAUGCUCGCGACCUUUUUGAUUCUCGGCAAACGACGAGGACAAAUAAGGCUCUCGAGUCCAAAUCCGGAUAAAUUCACAAACAGGGAAGUAAAAAAGCCACUAUUGGGCCGGGCCUGGAGGCGAUGAUAGUCCGAGCUGAAGACUUCUCGCUUGAGGCCAGCAGCGAUACGGUUCUCCAAGAAAGAAAACUGGCGCACUACGGUGAGUUGUGCAAGGGCAGUCGGAGGUUCGGCCGCCCGACAAAAUGGCGGUACUUCUCAACGCCGCGAUGCGACGGCUGGAAGUUCUCGAGAUGAGGCGGACGUAGUAGACCGGAACGGAUUCACCGGGAAAUGAUUGAUGUCGUCGGCGUCAACUGGGAAAGGCGUUUAUGGCUGGUCGUCCUUGCGGGUCGAACGGACACCGGUUGCUGGCAGCCAAGUCGGGGCUGGUACGUAUGGCGAAGUCGCGCAGAUAUCAGUAGAACUCCCAAGUAAAUAUCCCUGGGCCCUUUGUGUUGGGACCCCGGCUGCCUUUAUAAAUGAUUAUUAAUAAAUAACGAGCUACCAUGUA